rnacentral:tRNA from 1 species
GCUCUGAUAGCUCAGUUGGUUAGAGCAUCCGGCUGUUAACCGGGAGGUCGCAGGUUCGAAUCCUGUUUAGAGCG